rnacentral:rRNA from 1 species
GACGAACGCUGGCGGCGUGCUUAACACAUGCAAGUCGAACGGAAAGGCCCUGCUUUUGUGGGGUGCUCGAGUGACGAACGGGUGAGUAACCCGUGAGUAACCUGCACUUGACUUUGGGAUAACUUCAGGAAACUGGGGCUCAUACCGGCUAGGAGCUCCUGCUGCAUGGUGGGGGUUGGAAAGUUUCGGCGGUUGGGGAUGGACUCGCGGCUUACCAGCUUGUUGGUGGGGUAGUGGCUGACCAAGGCUUUGACGGGUAGCCGGCCUGAGAGGGUCACCGGCCACAUUAGGACUGAGAUGCGGCCCAGACUCCUACGGGAGGGAGCAGUGGAGAAUAUUGCACAAUGGGUGGAAGCCUGAUGCAGCAACGCCGCGUGCGGGAUGACGGCCUGCGGGUUGUAAACCGCUUUCGCCUGUGACGAAGCGUGAGUGACGGUAAUGGGUAAAGAAGCACCGGCUAACUACGUG